GUACGUGCGAGAGAAAAGAAGAAGAAAAAUGACCGUGCCUCGCGAUCCCAUCUCCAGUUUCUCCACCUCCACCCGCGGCCUUCCACCGUCGUCGCACCUCCUGCCACGCCCCGCCCCGCCUCAGCGUGCGCCGCCAGCCGCCGCCGCGCGCCUCUACCACCUACCUCGCCGCCCCGCCUACCCCUAUCUCCGAAUCGAGGUGGCUCAACGAGUGUGUGGGGCGGCAGGUGGUUCUCCCGUUCGAUCCGAUCAAGCGAAGUCUGCACAGGGCGGCGGCGGACGGGAUGGACGUGCGGAACGACGGCGGCGUACGGAUCCAGGAGAGCGGAGGCGGGAACUUGCAAGGCGUCGGGGUUCUCCGGGGCGGCACCAUGGUUGUUCUCGCAUGCUCCUGGAAGAAAACGAGGAAGGAUGAGAGGGAGAAAAAACAAGGUAGAAGGAGAGAAACGAGGGGAGGUACGGCAGGGUGAGCAUGGCAGAGGCCGAGAACCCAAGCUGCUCCCUCCAGCGCGCCCCCUCCAUGGCUCGUCGUCGCCGAGUGGCCAGAUCCAACUACAGGCGAGCCCUCCGGACAGCACCUCUCCUCCCUCUCGGUGAGCUCGCUGCCACUCUAGCGGUCUAGCCUACGUUCCCUCAAUCCUAGAACGAUCUGGUUCCAAAGGCUUCUGCUCAAUAGUGUGAUUUCAAAUGCUUCUGCUGAAAAAUAGUGUCAAUCUUCAGCAGAAUUAGCAUUAGUUAUACAUGGUCUCUCAUCCUGACUUCUCAAAAGCAGUUCAACAAUGUCUAUUGGGAUGCCAUCUGUCAUGGCAAGUUUUUCAUGAAUCAAUUCCUGCUUCUGUUUAUUUAUUUCUCUUCUUCAGUAGUUUCCACUCAAAGGAAGUGCUUAACUGGAGAAACCAGAGGAUAUAAAUGUGCCAAACAAAUAAUGGUGCCUAACUGCACAUACAUAUGUGUAGUUGUUGCCUCCAGAUACUCUCCUACGGCACGAUGCUCCUGCUUCCCUGCAGUUUGCCAUGGAAUUUAACAUGUCUGUCUUUUUUGUUUGGAAUCAGAGCAGAUGUUGCAGAACGACAUCAACCUCCUUAGCCCGCUGGCUGAGCUACACGAAGAAAGAGCAGGGAUAAACACCAUUUGUUGAUAUGUAUGCUUCUGCUGGGUACAUGUGAACAAAGAGACAAGGAAUGGAAGCUGUAGCGGUAGUCGGACGGUGGCCACGCAUUGGCAAUCACUGUUUAUAUACGUGACUCCAGCCACCUAUGGUGAGCAGACUUUGAUCUUGAUAUGUUAGUCCAAGUGGAUAAACAUCAUUAGGUGUUUAAUGUGAUGUGACUUCAUUGGUUGGACGUCUAUUAGGAUAUAUGUAGUACACACAUAUGAUUUUUUUCGAGUUGCCAUGUGAUGGAAAUCAGUAGCUUGAUUUGCUGUUCAACAAACAUUUAUGGUCUGUGUGUGUGCGCGCUUUUGCUGAUUCUCAUGAAAAUGCUUGCUUUUA